AUAAAGGUAGACUAAAAAAGUCAUUAGAUUCAUAAUUUAAAAAUAGUUUAACUUCUUUAUA
rnacentral:tRNA from 1 species